GCUCCUACCGAUUGGAUGACUCGGUGAAAUCACUGGACUGCAUGCAGGAAGGUGAUUAAAUCACGUUAUCUAGAGGAAGGAGAAGUCGUAACAAGGUAACG
rnacentral:rRNA from 1 species